rnacentral:lncRNA from 1 species
GGCCCGAGCUGCACAGGCCAAGGAAUUCCACAGAGGGUGUGACCCAAAGCCCCUAACAACAGACUCGCUGGGACCCCCUAGACUUGGCAUGGAGGCUGGGUGCAGACCUAGAAGACAGAGGUGGUGAAGCCCGGCCAGUGAGGACAAGAGCUGCGGGGAAGGACACCGAGGUGACUUGACGGCAGCAGCAGGCCUGAAGGCUCUGGCUGCUUUGGAAGAUAUUUCAAUGAGAUGCAAAUCGCAAUCGACUGACCAUUAGUUUCCACUGCAGUGUUUGCAGAUGGAGUCGAAUGUAACCCCCCGGGAAUGGAGCCGGGAGGGUCAGAGAACGCGGCUGCGCUCUGGAUCUCCGAAGGGGGGCGGGGGCCUGGAAGAGGUCCGGGCCCAGAAUGGACCUCCAGGUCCCUGCUGCCGCAAUCUGGCCCUGCCCUCCAGCCUACCCCUUACUCCCAGAGGAAGGGACCCAGGGAGACCCACCCAGAUGCCCUGAAAGGAGGUGGAGGAUGGGGGUGGGGCAAUACGCAGAGUUUGUCUGGUGAAUGCAGGAAAGGGGUGGGGGCUGGAGAGGAAAAGGAUGGAGCAGCCGUCAGCUUGUCAACUCCGCAUCUGCUGGCUGCCUCGGCCGGGCUCCAGCCUGCGCCCUCGCCCCUCGGAACAGCGGCACGCUGCAAUCCUGUACCCUGAAACCAGCUAGAUGAGCAUGUCCUAUAGAGGCCAAGGCUACCAUGGGCACCCUCUGGGCAUCGGGCCCUGUCUGCAAUACACCUGCAGGAAGAGCUCGAUCAGGUUCAGGUAAUAGGGCUGCUCCCGGCAAUAGAGCUUCAGCAGGCGGUAGAUACAUGCUUCCAGGAGGUUAGCAUCAUUGAUGGCAUCCAAACCCACGCCCGGCUGUCAUGACAGACAGAAAAACAAGCAAUCAAUCUCUAGUCUCGGUUCAUACUAAGAGCCAUCACCCCAACACCUCAACCAGGCCAUAUAUAACCACCUCCCUGUGGCCUGUCCCCAUACCCACUGCUAUUUUCCUGCCCACAUUACCUUCUGAUACCAGCAGAUCUGUCCCCGGCGGGUAAGGGAUGAAUCCAUGAUGUCAUCUGCCACCAGGAAGAAAGCUUGCAGCUAGAAAGAGUGGAAUAAGACCUGCAGGGCUCCUCAUUACUGUUCCUUCUAUCAGCAACAGAGCUGCUACUUUAUAUCUGUAUAUAGUUUUGCUUUUUUUUGGUAGGGGACAGAGUCUCACUAUUAUCCAGUGCAGUGGUGCAGUCACAGCUCACUGUAGCCUCUAACUCCCAGGCUCAAGUGAUCCUCCCACUUCAGCUUCCUGAGUUCCUGAGACCAUAGGCACAUACCCCAUGCCUGGCUAUUUUUUUUUUUUAAUUUAUUUUUUGUAGAGACAGGGUCCCACUAUGUUGCUCAGGCUGGUUUUGAACCCCUGGGUUCAAAUGAUCCUCCUGCCUCAGCCUCCCAAAUUACUGGGAUUACAGGCAUGAGGCAUCACAGCCGGCCAGAGCUGCUGCCUUUGACAGUCCCUAUGAGCUGGGAAAGUCAGGAUGGGGAGACAGAAGACUUCUGUGCUAUGGAGACUUGGAAAGUGACAUAACAUGUUUGGCUCAGACUCCCCGCCUAU